GUAUGACGAUAUAUUCGAUUCUAAUCACGAUUUGUUGAACAGAAUGAUGAAAGGAUGAUCGAGACGUAACAUUCAGUCGGUGGACCAGUAACUGCAAUAUAAUGUCCUGCGAAAACCAGCGACGAUCAUCAAUUACUAGCUGCCCUUCGAAAAGUCGACAAGUCGAGAGCGUAGAAUAAUCACGCGGGGAAUGAAAAUGGAUCGUCGCGGUUUCGAGGCCCCUUAUGGUUGAUCACAAUUUAUGCCGUGUAAUACCGUUACUCUGGAAUCAUGGUCUAUCUCCUAUCCGAUUCGAUAUUUAUGCGUUUAUCAAAAUCACGUAUCAAUCUGUGACUGAACAUCAUUCAUCCAAAAUGUUAAUCAUCAUUUUUCCGUGUUACCAGGAGUCUAAUUUCUUAUGAUAAAAUCGGGACCAGCCCGUCGAAUAUGUCCACGAGGAUUAAUGAAUUAACGACGUAAACGAAUCAUCGAACCAGACCAAUAAUUCGCGAUUAAAUAUUGCAGUCCCACGAUCGAUACAUCGAGUCCGGUAACACCGACACCGAAAAUAAUUAUCCGCGACGACGACGACCUCCCUGGAGCCGGUUAAAUCGGCUGUUUACCCGAUUUCGACGUGCACACGGUUGCAGGAUAAUCAAUCGGUUAACCGACAAGCCAUGAACGCGUAAUGAGCAACAAUUCGGUUAGUCGGGCUCGAAUAAAUUAUUCAAAUUACACACCGUCGAUUAACUCGAUCGCGUGAUUCUAUAUCGACGGAGCACGGGAAAGAACGCAUCCAAACCAGCCCGGACAAAUAAAUCAGGAACGAUGAAUGAUUUACCGAAGAAACAUGCAAGAAAGAAAAGGUGAUGCCAUUCCACGAUUGAUAAAUAGGAACACCGCUAGAUAUCGCUAUAUUCCGGAAGGCGAACGUGUACUCGACCAUGGUGCAUUAAAUAAUAAUGUCAGUGAUUGCGAGAAACUCGACUCCCGCGGCGGAGGUUGCUGUAGCUCCACGAGGUCGAUCGAGAGGGGUAAGGGAUGCUGAAGGAUGCAGGAGAGGUUUGGUGGAAGCGAAUGGACCAAGGGAUGCAAGAGGAAAGACGCGGCCUCUACACCCCCACCAGAUAUAUCAUCGCCUGGCAGUUAUGUGUGUCAUGAAUUUUAGAUUAUCCUUGGAUUAGAUUAAGGGGCGGGGGUGGAAGGUGCAGUAAAGGCAGCCAACCAGCCCCUUGGUCCACCAGUCAGUACCGUAGUUGGAUAGCAGCGUGCCCGCGUGAAUUAUUUUCCGGUCCUCUAACAUCCCACCUCCUACUCGACGAUUGAUUUCUCACUUUUCGCUGGCUGGAUAGCAACUUUCGUGAAGAGCGUUUAUAACGUUCUUCAUUUACCUCUGAAGUUAAGUACUUUGAUCUCAAUUUUCUACCAAGGAUUCUUUGCUUAAAUAACCUAAUCCAUAUACUUUAUACAACGUUAGAUCCUUAUCUCACUGCAACAACAAAAUAAGAGAUAUCCAAUCAAGAUAUUCUGGAAUCUCGAAAUUUUUUAAUCUUAGUCAAACCUGGUCAUCCAACGCAGAGACAAAGCCAAGCUUUCUACCAAACGUCCAAAAGUUCGAAAACAUCCUAACCUAACCAUACCUGGACACUCAAAGGAUAAACUAAGAGUAAGUCUACCUCCAUACACCAUUCGUCUCCCUAAAGCUAUUGCAGGAGUGUCUCCACGUUCGAAAAUCGAGUGGACAAGACUAAAAGGAGGAAGGGGAGAAUAGAAUGGAAGAAACGAGGAGCUAAACGGUACUUCCCCGCCUCCUGGGCAGAACCGAUGCCGAAUCAAUUCGCGUAAUAGUCUCUGGGGUAGCGGUGGGAAGGCAGGGGUUAAAUCGACUGCAACUACCUCCACCAUAGCCCCUUUUCUCCAACAGAGACGUGGAACCGCUCGGAUACGGGCCAUUACCACACCUGUCCCUCAAGUUUCGCCCCCGAAGAGAAGGAGAUCGGCUCAAACGAAACGAGCCAGCCUCUAAUGAAGAGAAGCAAUCACUUAAGCCGGCCGUUAGACUGAUCGGACGUGGGAACGCGUUUUAUCUGGCUCGGGCCACGCUUUUAUGCGCCACUACGAGAAACGUUUAUAGCCAUUUUACUGCGUCGGAAUGGCACACACCAUCUGAAUGCUCUUGACGAGCACUAACGGCAUUACCAACGAAUUUUCUGAAUUUUCGAAGGAGCUUUAAGCUAGUGGAAUUGCUUAUCAAAAUGGGAAUGGAAUUCUUUUGGAAUCUACGACCUUUUUCUUAAGCUUUAGUCCCUAAGUGAAGAAAGAUUGUAUUUUUCCCGUUGGUAAAGAUGACAUGAAAAAGAUAUAGAGACGACUAUUAACCUUGAAGAAGAUAAUUCACGAAGAACAAGAUCCUAAGAGUCCUGGAGGACGGUGUUUCUUUCUCCAAAAUCAAUUUACCGUCAAAAAUGAUA